AUGGACCCGGACCUGGCGCUCCACCUCGAGAUCGCCGCGGUGGUCGUGAUGGCGGUGAUCAUCGUCGCCGUGGCCGUCAUGGCAUCCGGCGGAGCCUGCGACGACGCGGCCGGCGCCACGGGGAGCGCCGCGGUGCACGACGCCGACGUCGAGGCCGCCCUCGGCGACGACACGCUUAUGACGUACGAGCUGGCGACCGCCAGGAAGAAGGAGAAGGCGAAGGACAAGGCGAAGGAGAAGGAGGAGGAGGAGGAGGAGGAGCGGUGCGCCCUCUGCCUGUCUGAUUACGGUGAGGGCGACGCCGGCGAGCUAGUGCGAGUGGUGCCGGCCUGCGGGCACUUCUACCACGCGAGCUGCGGCGUCGACAAGUGGCUCCGGAAGCACCGGACGUGCCCGCUCUGCCGCGGAGGGCUCCGGCCGCAGCCGCCGCUGCCGGGGUUGCCACGGCCGGAGUGCCCGCCGAUGCCGCCGUCCCAUUAG
rnacentral:rRNA from 1 species